AGAGUUUGAUCCUGGCUCAGGACGAACGCUGGCGGCGUGCCUAAUACAUGCAAGUCGAGCGGGUUUGUUCCUUCGGGGACAAGCUAGCGGCGGACGGGUGAGUAACACGUAGGCAACCUGCCCAUGGGACCGGGAUAACGUCGGGAAACCGAUGCUAAUACCGGAUAUGUGAUUCCUUCGCAUGAGGGGAUCUAGAAAGA
rnacentral:rRNA from 1 species